AUUGCACCAGAUGCUCACAGGCUUCAAGCAUGUGAAGUUAGAGAUUCUCAUUUCUCAAAUCCACUCCUCUCUAAAUGCCAACUUUUUCUUCUUUCUUUUCAUUUUUUCCUUUUCUCUUUCUUUCUUCUUUCUCUCAUACAAUACAAACACUUACCGAAAUACUCUAAUGCCUAAAUCCCCUCUCUAAACUCAACUACUCCUCACCAUAUUUGAAUAUGUUAUUCCUCGUCUCUUGGCCUACAAGCUAAUAUAAUUUAUUUCAAGAAAAUCUAAGUUUUCAAGUGCACUAACUAUGGUGGGCCAAACCAUGGAAGGACUAAUGUGCAGCUUUGACAUUUGAUGAGGGCUACUUGGAAAAUAUUCCAAGGACUAAAAGACAAAUUCUCUAAGCUUGUGGAGUAUUUGGACAAAAGGAAGACUUUGAGGACUUAACCCAAUGACUAAAAUGUGAAUUUGUAGUAACUAAAUUGUAAUUUGUCCUUAAUUAAGGUGAUGAUCAAUUAAGAUUAA